AGUCGAGCGGAUCGAUGGGAGCUUGCUCCCUGAGAUCAGCGGCGGACGGGUGAGUAACACGUGGGUAACCUGCCUGUAAGACUGGGAUAACUCCGGGAAACCGGGGCUAAUACCGGAUAACACCUACCCCCGCAUGGGGGAAGGUUGAAAGGUGGCUUCGGCUAUCACUUACAGAUGGACCCGCGGCGCAUUAGCUAGUUGGUGAGGUAAUGGCUCACCAAGGCGACGAUGCGUAGCCGACCUGAGAGGGUGAUCGGCCACACUGGGACUGAGACACGGCCCAGACUCCUACGGGAGGCAGCAGUAGGGAAUCUUCCGCAAUGGACGAAAGUCUGACGGAGCAACGCCGCGUGAGUGAAGAAGGUUUUCGGAUCGUAAAACUCUGUUGUUAGGGAAGAACAAGUGCCGUUCGAAUAGGGCGGCGCCUUGACGGUACCUAACCAGAAAGCCACGGCUAACUACGUGCCAGCAGCCGCGGUAAUACGUAGGUGGCAAGCGUUGUCCGGAAUUAUUGGGCGUAAAGCGCGCGCAGGUGGUUUCUUAAGUCUGAUGUGAAAGCCCACGGCUCAACCGUGGAGGGUCAUUGGAAACUGGGGAACUUGAGUGCGGAAAGUG
rnacentral:rRNA from 2 species